rnacentral:rRNA from 1 species
GCAGGUUGGAGUCUGUGUGGAAGGCGGUGUCCAAGUCCCUUGGAACAGGGCGCCCAGGAGGGUGAGAGCCCCGUGGGAUGCCGGCGGAAGCAGUGAGGCUCCUUCUGACGAGUCGAGUUGUUUGGGAAUGCAGCUCCAAGCGGGUGGUAAAUUCCAUCUAAGGCUAAAUACUGGCGAGAGACCGAUAGCGAACAAGUACUGUGAAGGAAAGAUGAAAAGCACUUUGAAAAGAGAGUGAAACAGCACGUGAAAUUGUUGAAAGGGAAGGGUAUUGCGCCCGACAUGGGGAUUGCGCACCGCUGCCUCUCGUGGGCGGCGCUCUGGGCUUUCCCUGGGCCAGCAUCGGUUCUUGCUGCAGGAGAAGGGGUUCUGGAACGUGGCUCUUCGGAGUGUUAUAGCCAGGGCCAGAUGCUGCGUGCGGGGACCGAGGACUGCGGCCG